GAUUACAGGCGCCCACCACCACGCCCAGCUAAUUUUUUGUAUUUUUAGUAGAGACGGGGUUUCACCGUGGUCUCGAUCUCCUGACCUCGUGAUCCGCCUGCCUCGGCCUCCCAAAGUGCUGGGAUUACAAGCUUGAGCCACCGCACCGGGCCCUGAGAUGUCUCCAAGUGGUGGUGAGACAUCAUCAAAUCCUAAGAAACAAUAUACUUGAAGAUUUUUCACUCACUGCAUCAAAGACAAGAAUGAGGCAGAUGAAAACCAUACACAAAAACACGACAAAUAGAAAAGAGAUUCCACCAAAAGCAAUCAUCAAGAAAAUGUCUCCAGCAAGAUUCCCGUUGUUGUAAAGGGGCGUGUAAGUAAUUUGCACUCAAACAACUCCAGAAGUGCUUGCCUGAUGAAAAGGACUCACCAAGAGCUGAAGAGUUUGGCAUCACAGUCCAAGUGGUUCCUUGUUGGCAAUGGCCAUUGUCAUCAUAAGGCUGGAUUUAACUUCAG
rnacentral:lncRNA from 1 species